ACUGUAGUAACCUCAGCACCAAGAGUCUAGCAUGGACAUAAUCUCUACUCACUGCACGUUUGUUGAAUGGAUGAAGGAAUCUUCUCUAAGCCUGUUUUGUCUUUAUGAAACAGAGGUGGGUUCUAUAUCUCUGAGUCAUCAGGGAAGCCUGAAGGGGACUUACUUAUGGUGGAAUAAGAGGCGAGCAGGAAGAGGUUGGCCCUGGAAGGGAGGAAACUCAAGCAAAGCUCAGCAAGAAGGACCCUUCACUCUGUCUGAUAUUUUGGACAUGGAUACUUUGGACAUGGAUAAAUCAAGUAAAAAUAACCAUGAAAGCUUCCCUUUUCACAUUGACCUUCACAGAACUUUAGAUGGCCUGGCUUCUCCCUCUCAUAUAAAAUUCAAAGAGCUCUUCUCUAAAGAAAUUGCACAACUCCAGAGCAGUCUCCUGAAUUCUGGCAUUUAAUGAGAUCCUGGUUUGUUGUUUUAUUUUUAAAGUUCUCACUCCAUGACCCAAAAGCAGCAGCAGUUAUGAACCCGCAGUGUGCAUCAGAAUCACAUGGAAUGUAACUUUAUUUGGGUGGCGUCUGUUU
ensembl:lncRNA